AUUGAACGCUGGCGGCAGGCCUAACACAUGCAAGUCGAACGGCAGCAGAGAACUUGCUCGUGGUUUCGGCGGCGGACUGGCGAGUGGUGGAUGGAAAUCUCCGUAUUAGCGGUUGCUUGCGUGCGGACACAGGCGCUCUUACCCCAUAAGCGCUUACGAACUACGUGUGAAAGCUUCGGACCUCACGCUAUCACAUGAUCCUAGGUCGGAUUAGCUAGUUGGGGGGGUAAAGGCCUACCAAGGCGACGAUCCGUAACUGGUCUGAGAGGAUGAUCAGUCACACUGGAACUGAGACACGGUCCAGACUCCUACGGGAGGCAGCAGUGGGGAAUAUUGGACAAUGGGCGAAAGCCUGAUCCAGCCAUGCCGCGUGGGUGAAGAAGGCCUUCGGGUUGUAAAGCCCUUUUGGUGGGAAAGAAAAGCAGCAGGUUAAUACCUUGCUGUUCUGACGGUACCCAAAGAAUAAGCACCGGCUAACUUCGUG
rnacentral:rRNA from 1 species